AUUGAACGCUGGCGGCAGGCCUAACACAUGCAAGUCGAGCGGAUGAAGGGAGCUUGCUCCUGGAUUCAGCGGCGGACGGGUGAGUAAUGCCUAGGAAUCUGCCUUGUAGUGGGGGAUAACGUCCGGACACGGGCGCUAAUACCGCAUACGUCCUGAGGGAGAAAGUGGGGGAUCUUCGGACCUCACGCUAUCAGAUGAGCCUAGGUCGGAUUAGCUAGUUGGUGGGGUAAAGGCCUACCAAGGCGACGAUCCGUAACUGGUCUGAGAGGAUGAUCAGUCACACUGGAACUGAGACACGGUCCAGACUCCUACGGGAGGCAGCAGUGGGGAAUAUUGGACAAUGGGCGAAAGCCUGAUCCAGCCAUGCCGCGUGUGUGAAGAAGGUCUUCGGAUUGUAAAGCACUUUAAGUUGGGAGGAAGGGCAGUAAGUUAAUACCUUGCUGUUUUGACGUUACCAACAGAAUAAGCACCGGCUAACUUCGUG
rnacentral:rRNA from 1 species